GUCCUCUUGUUUGAAUAUGAGGUCUGACCUGCCCAGUGAUAAAUAUUUAACGGCCGCGGUAUUUUGACCGUGCAAAGGUAGCAUAAUCAUUAGUCUUUUAAUAGAAGGCUGGUAUGAAGGGUUUGACGAACUGUUAGCUGUCUCAUUUAAUUUGUUAUUAGAAUUUAACUUUUUAGUCAAAAGGCUUAAAUUUUAUUGGAAGACGAGAAGACCCUAUAGAGCUUUAUAGAUGAAGUUUUAAUGAAUUUUAGUUUAUAUCAAUAUUUUUUAGAAAAUAAUCUAUUUUGUUGGGGUGACAAAAAUAUAUAAUUAACUUUUUUAUUUAAUUAACAUUGAUUUAUGAUUAUUAGAUCCAAUCUUAUUGAUUGAUAGACUAAGUUACC
rnacentral:rRNA from 1 species